AUUGAACGCUGGCGGCAGGCCUAACACAUGCAAGUCGAGCGGUAGCACAGAGAGCUUGCUCUCGGGUGACGAGCGGCGGACGGGUGAGUAAUGUCUGGGAAACUGCCUGAUGGAGGGGGAUAACUACUGGAAACGGUAGCUAAUACCGCAUAACGUCGCAAGACCAAAGUGGGGGACCUUCGGGCCUCAUGCCAUCAGAUGUGCCCAGAUGGGAUUAGCUAGUAGGUGGGGUAAUGGCUCACCUAGGCGACGAUCCCUAGCUGGUCUGAGAGGAUGACCAGCCACACUGGAACUGAGACACGGUCCAGACUCCUACGGGAGGCAGCAGUGGGGAAUAUUGCACAAUGGGCGCAAGCCUGAUGCAGCCAUGCCGCGUGUGUGAAGAAGGCCUUCGGGUUGUAAAGCACUUUCAGCGGGGAGGAAGGCGGUGAGGUUAAUAACCUCAUCGAUUGACGUUACCCGCAGAAGAAGCACCGGCUAACUCCGUGCCAGCAGCCGCGGUAAUACGGAGGGUGCAAGCGUUAAUCGGAAUUACUGGGCGUAAAGCGCACGCAGGCGGUCUGUCAGUCGGAUGUGAAAUCCCCGGGCUCAACCUGGGAACUGCAUUCGAAACUGGCAGGCUAGAGUCUUGUAGAGGGGGGUAGAAUUCCAGGUGUAGCGGUGAAAUGCGUAGAGAUCUGGAGGAAUACCGGUGGCGAAGGCGGCCCCCUGGACAAAGACUGACGCUCAGGUGCGAAAGCGUGGGGAGCAAACAGGAUUAGACACCCUGGUAGUCCACGCCGUAAACGAUGUCGAUUUGGAGGUUGUGCCCUUGAGGCGUGGCUUCCGGAGCUAACGCGUUAAAUCGACCGCCUGGGGAGUACGGCCGCAGGGUUAAAACUCAAAUGAAUUGACGGGGGCCCGCACAAGCGGUGGAGCAUGUGGUUUAAUUCGAUGCAACGCGAAGAACCUUACCUGGUCUUGACAUCCACAGAACUUUCCAGAGAUGGAUUGGUGCCUUCGGGAACUGUGAGACAGGUGCUGCAUGGCUGUCGUCAGCUCGUGUUGUGAAAUGUUGGGUUAAGUCCCGCAACGAGCGCAACCCUUAUCCUUUGUUGCCAGCGGUCCGGCCGGGAACUCAAAGGAGACUGCCAGUGAUAAACUGGAGGAAGGUGGGGAUGACGUCAAGUCAUCAUGGCCCUUACGACCAGGGCUACACACGUGCUACAAUGGCAUAUACAAAGAGAAGCGACCUCGCGAGAGCAAGCGGACCUCAUAAAGUAUGUCGUAGUCCGGAUUGGAGUCUGCAACUCGACUCCAUGAAGUCGGAAUCGCUAGUAAUCGUAGAUCAGAAUGCUACGGUGAAUACGUUCCCGGGCCU
rnacentral:rRNA from 1 species